UACGUAGGGUGCAAGCGUUAUCCGGAAUUAUUGGGCGUAAAGAGCUCGUAGGCGGUUAGUCGCGUCUGCUGUGAAAACUCGGGGCUUAACUCCGGGCCUGCAGUGGGUACGGGCUGACUAGAGUGCGGUAGGGGAGACUGGAAUUCCUGGUGUAGCGGUGAAAUGCGCAGAUAUCAGGAGGAACACCGGUGGCGAAGGCGGGUCUCUGGGCCGUAACUGACGCUGAGGAGCGAAAGCGUGGGGAGCGAACAGG
rnacentral:rRNA from 1 species